rnacentral:rRNA from 1 species
AAUAUUGCACAAUGAGCGAAAGCUUGAUGCAGCGACGCCGCGUGAGGGAUGACGGCUCUCGGGUUGUAAACCUCUUUCGGCGGGGAACAAGUCCAGGUUUUGGCCCGGUGGAGGGUACCUGCAGAAGAAGCGCCGGCUAACUACGUGCUAGCAGCCGCGGUAAUACGUAGGGCGCGAGCGUUGUCCGGAAUUAUUGGGCGUAAAGAGCUCGUGGGCGGCUUGUCGCGUCUGCUGUGAAAACGCGGGGCUUAACUCAGCGCUUGCAGUGGGUACGGGCAGGCUUGAGUGUAGUAGGGGAGACUGGAAUUCCUGGUGUAGCGGUGGAAUGCGCAGAUAUCAGGAGGAGCACCAGUGGCGAAGGCGACUCUCUGGUCUGUAACUGACGCUGAGGCGCGAAAGCGUGGGGAUCAAACA